UGGGGAAUAUUGCACAAUGGGCGCAAGCCUGAUGCAGCCAUGCCGCGUGUAUGAAGAAGGCCUUCGGGUUUUAAAGUACUUUCAGCGGGGAGGAAGGGAGUAAAGUUAAUACCUUUGCUCAUUGACGUUACCCGCAGAAGAAGCACCGGCUAACUCCGUGCCAGCAGCCGCGGUAAUACGGAGGGUGCAAGCGUUAAUCGGAAUUACUGGGCGUAAAGCGCACGCAGGCGGUUUGUUAAGUCAGAUGUGAAAUCCUCGGGCUCAACCUGGGAACUGCAUCUGAUACUGGCAAGCUUGAGUCUCGUAGAGGGGGGUAGAAUUCCAGGUGUAGCGGUGAAAUGCGUAGAGAUCUGGAGGAAUACCGGUGGCGAAGGCGGCCCCCUGGACGAAGACUGACGCUCAGGUGCGAAAGCGUGGGGAGCAAACAGG
rnacentral:rRNA from 1 species